rnacentral:rRNA from 1 species
UACGUAGGGUGCGAGCGUUAAUCGGAAUUACUGGGCGUAAAGCGUGCGUAGGCGGUUCGUUAAGUUCGUUGUGAAAGCCCCGGGCUCAACCUGGGAAUGGCAAUGGAAACUGGCGGGCUGGAGUAUGGCAGAGGGGGGUGGAAUUCCGCGUGUAGCAGUGAAAUGCGUAGAUAUGCGGAGGAACACCGAUGGCGAAGGCAGCCCCCUGGGAUAACACUGACGCUCAUGCACGAAAGCGUGGGGAGCAAACAGG